rnacentral:rRNA from 3 species
AGAGUUUGAUCCUGGCUCAGAACGAACGCUGGCGGCAGGCUUAACACAUGCAAGUCGAACGCACCGCAAGGUGAGUGGCAGACGGGUGAGUAACGCGUGGGAACGUGCCCUUCAGUUCGGGAUAACCCAGGGAAACUUGGGCUAAUACCGGAUACGUGCGAGAGCAGAAAGAUUUAUCGCUGAAGGAUCGGCCCGCGUCUGAUUAGCUAGUUGGUAGGGUAAUGGCCUACCAAGGCGACGAUCAGUAGCUGGUCUGAGAGGAUGAUCAGCCACAUUGGGACUGAGACACGGCCCAAACUCCUACGGGAGGCAGCAGUGGGGAAUAUUGGACAAUGGGCGCAAGCCUGAUCCAGCCAUGCCGCGUGAGUGAUGAAGGCCUUAGGGUUGUAAAGCUCUUUCGGCGGGGACGAUAAUGACGGUACCCGCAGAAGAAGCCCCGGCUAACUUCGUGCCAGCAGCCGCGGUAAUACGAAGGGGGCUAGCGUUGUUCGGAAUCACUGGGCGUAAAGGGCGCGUAGGCGGCCUGAUAAGUCGGGGGUGAAAGCCUGUGGCUCAACCACAGAAUUGCCUUCGAUACUGUCGGGCUUGAGACCGGAAGAGGUCAGUGGAACUGCGAGUGUAGAGGUGAAAUUCGUAGAUAUUCGCAAGAACACCAGUGGCGAAGGCGGCUGACUGGUCCGGUUCUGACGCUGAGGCGCGAAAGCGUGGGGAGCAAACAGGAUUAGAUACCCUAGUAGUCC